CCCCAGAAUGAUGACGUCUGGGUCAACUUGGAUCUGUGGGGAGAGAGUUGGUUGAAGUUCUGGUUUACUGUCCUUGGUGCUGCUUUGUCAUUGCCUUUUCCCACUGCAGAGUAGAACUGUUGCAGGCACAUGCUCUCGACAUCCCUGAAGCCAUUCCAGUUUGUUAGAGCCGGCCAGACUUUGUACCCCACUGGCAGAGCCUUCAGAAAUCCUGCGGAGGCGUUGGAGUAGCCAGACAGUGACUUCAGUUUGAAUCUCUUGACAGUUAUGGCUAAUCAAUUGUGAAAUUGCCUUCUCUUCAUGAAGAAAAAACUUAAUUAAAAGUUAAUGCAUUUCAACCAAAAAUCAAAGCUGUAAAGUGUACAUGAAAACAUAAACUUUUCUGUACCUUUCUGAUUUUUUCAUCUGUGUAUUUAACAGACUUUGGGGCUGGCUUUUUUUUUAUACAUGCAUGUUUUAUUUAUGCUUUAUUUUAUCUCAUUUGUAUAAUGCUUUCUUACAUAUUUUUGUAUCUUUCAUAUUUGUUGCUUUUUGUUAUAGGGUAGUAUUCUGUUCUGUCAACAAGCCAUAGCUUAUUUAGCCAUCCUAAUUGUUAGAUAUGAUGCUGUUUCCAGAUAUGAAAAUUUCUUUGGUUUUUCCCCAGUGUUGUACACCAGAGCUAAAAAGAAAUUACUUCUGCCUGGGACCAACAUGAAUGUUGUAUACUCAACUUAUUUUUACAGUUUCUGCCAUACUUUGUAUUUCAAAAAUGCAAUAAUGUAGUGAGUGAUGAGAAUCUCUCCAUUUGGUAAAUGAAGAAGCUGAAAUUGGCCCAGUGUGUGACAUCAGUGGCAGAGAUUUAAAAAAAAAAAGCCUUUACUGGAUUUCUAAAUGUAGAUGUUCAGCAUUGAAAAUUCAGAACUUGCUCUUGGGUUAGGGAAAUAGUUCUUGUGGGGAGGCCUGUACAAUGCAGAUAAUUAAUUAAUAAUUAAUCAUUUAAUUAAUAAAUAAAGGUUAAAAUA